rnacentral:rRNA from 1 species
CCUACGGGAGGCAGCAGUGGGGAAUCUUGCACAAUGGAGGAAACUCUGAUGCAGCGAUGCCGCGUGAGUGAAGAAGGCCUUUGGGUUGUAAAGCUCUUUUGUAGGGGAAGAUAAUGACUGUACCCUAAGAAUAAGGUCCGGCUAACUUCGUGCCAGCAGCCGCGGUAAUACGAAGGGACCUAGCGUAGUUCGGAAUUACUGGGCGUAAAGCGCGCGUAGGCCGUUGAGUUAGUUAAUUGUGAAAUCCCAAAGCUUAACUUUGGAACUGCAAUUAAAACUGCUCGACUAGAGUUUGAUAGAGGAAAGCGGAAUACAUAGUGUAGAGGUGAAAUUCGUAGAUAUUAUGUAGGACGCCAGUUGCGAAGGCGGCUUUCUGGAUCAACACUGACGCUGAGGCGCGAAAGUAUGGGUAGCAAAGAGGAUUAGAUACCCUCGUAGUCCAUACCAUAAACGAUGAUUGCUAGAUGUUGGAAAUUUAUUUUCAGUAUCGCAGCUAACGCAUUAAGCAAUCCGCCUGGGGAUACGACCGCAAGGUUAAAACUCAAAGGAUUGACGG